rnacentral:piRNA from 1 species
UGGGAUUAAAGCCAAACUCUAAAUUUAAAAAG